rnacentral:lncRNA from 1 species
GUGUGGUGGUGGACAUAAGAUGCACGGCGAACAUUGAGCUACAGAAGAACAUUAUGAAAGGUAUGUACGGUAACUCCAUCCAUGCUUGGCCACACACCAACGUAUGUUUUCCACUGGUGCUAACCUAAACAAAUUCGUUUACUGUGAACUGAACAACGGUGCAUCGUGAUACAGAGGUUGGAGAGGCUGGAGGAGACCAUAUACCAACACAAAGCGCAUCUUGAUGGCCAUCAAUGAGGAGCUGGACCUGCUACACCAGGCUAAUUGCAAGCAUUGGGUACUUUUGUUAGCUAUCAAUUAAAUCUCUUGUCCUGCAAGAACAUGUGUUUAUUUAUGAAAACAUUUUACAUGAGCGUUGUAGGAUGAUUUGGAUGAGAUGACUGAUGAGGACAUGAGCGUUGUCGGAUGAUUUGGACGAGAGGACUGUAGCACGACGCAAUGAAGAGCCAGAUCGUCCGUCCGCUCCCAGCUCACUUCCCAGUUCUGUUGUGCUGCCCCGUGCACCAACCAUCCAGUAAAGGUUCUGAGGUUAACAUCUCUUUUGCAAGUUUCGUAUAACUUUCGUUGUCACUUUAUUAUCUAUUGAUCCACAUGUUUGUAUUUUAACAGACAUGAGUACUUUAUCAUCUUUCCAGGAAGAAAUUACUAGAGAGAAGAAAACUCAGUUUUACAAGUAGUGACAGUCCAACAUCAUAUUGACACAUCUGGUUUCUCUUUCCACAAGCAGGGUCGAGUGGGGUGAUAUACUAGGCGCUUUCUUCUAAAUUGUACAGAAAGUCCACUGAGUUAUUGUUGUUUGUAUGCCACCUUAGAGCGAAAUAGUACUUCUUUUAAUCAUUUUUUAGGUGAAAUACAAGCAUGUAGCUACCUCACUUAAUUAUUGUACUCACUUGAAGUUUAUGUUGAUACAAUGCACUAUUUAAGUAGUAGAGAAACCUCACAAAUUUAAAUUGAUGAAUGAUAUUUAGGAAAAGAAGUAGGCAUGUUUCAUUAUAAAGGGAAAGUCUUUUUCAAGGCAUAGUGUUUAAUUCAUGAAUGGUUAAACAGUUUAACGGGGACCAACACUGGGUAGCAGGGGAGUGGCAGUGCAUAGAGAUAUAGUGAGGGGAGCGGGGGCGAUGAUGGAGGCGGAGAUGUUUAGAGAGAGAUAUAGAGAGUGGGAGGUUCACCAUGGUGCAAUCGAAAACCAAGGCACACCUUGCUAAGACAAGCACACUUUAAAACAUAGCAAUACUCUGCAUUGUUUGAUGUUGGUAUCAGGACCAGGUACCAUGUGAAGCUCAAGGAAUGGUUGUAGAUCAUUAUGGAUAAACUAAAAAAAAAGAUCAUUAUGGAGUACAUUAUAAACGGCAUUUGGUGUCGGCGGCAUGUCACUACCACUGACAAAGUUCUCUGAAACACGAUUACUAUCAUGUACAAUGCUUUACAGUUCUCUCAUAUUCAAAUGCUAAAAUUCUGUAAUUUCAUAUUUAGUAGUUUCUGCGGUGUGAAAUUCAUGUUUUAUUUUGCUUGUGCAGUUGAAAAUAAAUGUUGGCAAAGAUAUUAAAAUUCAAAUCUGGCUUAUUUUUCUCAAUAUGGGUUCAGAAGGAAAUUGUCGUUGAGCUUCUAUCUAAAGGUAUGUCAGAUUAACAGGUUGCUAUCGCAACUCUUGAUUUGGAGUAAUGCAAAGCAACUGUGGAUCUUGUCGUCGGUACAUCUUGGGUUGUUGUUCUUCCAGAACGAAGGAUUUUUUUCCCUAGAUUGUGCUAUGAAAUAAUGCUUGUAUAACGCCUUGAUCUCUUGGCUACACCAUGCUUUCUGGAGAACACUAUACUUACAGAAGAAUGAUGCUUCUAUAGAAUGUGCCACCAUGAGUUCUGUCAGCUCUUUUAAUUUUGUGUUCACUAUGGACGAAUGAACCAUAUAAUUUGUCAAUUUGAUCAGUACUUGCUGAGUGCUUGCUUUCAUGUUGCAAUCUCAGAUUUAGGCACUUCAUAGCCAUAGAUUAAUUUUGAAUUGUUAUGCUCAGUACACCAAAUGUUGUUCCUAGGUAAUGCACUGUUUGCAACUAAGUUUUGUCUUUAAGCACCAAGGUGUAGUAGUAUGCAUUGAAAUAAAUGGAUCAUUUCUAUCUUUCUGGUGCUCAUAAUAGACUUUUUCAUUUUGAAUUUGUAUGCUUGAAAUUUGAUUAUUUCUAUCAACUGAGAGUGGAAAUGAACUGUACCGUAGGCACUUUUUCAUUAGAUUUCAGCAGCGGCUGAUGGCAGCAACCUCAUGGGCCACACAUCCCCUUCUUUAAUUGCAUGCCCUCACAAAAUGGAUGGGGACUUGGUUCUUUGGUUGUCGCCGCCGGACUCAGUGAAGGACGAAAAAUUGAGAUGAUCUAGUGGAGAAUAGAUGCCACGGGCUGAAGAAAGGAGGCGACGGUUUCAGAGCACACACCUUGAAGCGGAGAGGCGGCAAGGGAGUGCGUCUGGAUGGCAAGAGGGAGCGGGACAAGGCAACAUCACAUGGGAGGCAUGGUCAAAAUCGGCGCCGUAGGAGCAAUCGUGCGCGUGGGGGUCGUACCAGGGAGAAGGAAAAGGAUGGUCGGUUUUCUAGGGCUUUUUUCCUUGCAUCGGGAAAUGGGUUUGGUUGAAAAAAACGAUGAUGUGGGGAGGUUAUGCGAGUGGUGGAUACGUGGGUACCAUUUAAUGUACCAAGUGCGCUUUAAUAGUAGAGAUUAAGAUGUUGAUAUUUUAUUCAUUUUCUUCUUAGCUGAACAUUCUUUAAACCAAAAAUCUAUGAAACUUGUAAUGUAUCAUGGUCGCAAUUUGUGAAGUAGAACUAACUAUCCUUUGACCAAAUACCCUUUGACCAUUCAUCAAUUUUUAUGUACUUGUCGCCCGUGACAACAAAUAUGGAUCAAAUAACUAUGCACUAUGGGCACUAAUAUGUUUACCUUCAAAUGGGUUUGUUACUGUGUUUAGUUACUAUGAUGUUUCAUAUGUUCAUCAGAAAAAAUAAAGGCUUAUUUGCUUGCAUGUGCUUUCUCAUGUUUGUUUGUUUUUUCUUCUGGUUGUUCCUUUUCUAUAAUUGUCACAUAAAGUGAACCGAAACUCAUAUUCUAUAUUUCUGCUGUGUAGAUACCCGUGAGCCCGCUGUUGAACUCGCUAAAAAUGGAGAUAGACAUGGAUUUAACGGUUCUCAUUCAUUUAAAUCUUAGUGAAUUGAUACCAGUUUCCAUUUGGAACUGAGAUAACGAGGAAUCGUUUCCUUCAUGAUACUGCAUGUAUGAGCUUUUUUCUUUCGGUCUAGGCCAAUAUUGUACAAAGUUAUUUCCUAAAAUUAUAUUCGAAGGUGUCUUCUAUGAGAGUAACCAUCUCAAUCUUUUUUCUAUAGUUGUCACAAGGUUCUUGUGCUAAAGUAAAGUGAUUUUUGCUUGGUCAAUAUGUUUUCUUCUGAAUAUUUCAAGAAUGAAUUAGUUUAUGCUGCAGUAGUGAGUCACUGUUAAAAAUAGGGAGAAAGGUGUUAUAAGUGAAAAAUUAUGUAGUAUACUUUUAGCUUCCAAACAUUUGUACUUAUGUUCUAUGCCCAUUUUGAUUUGGACAAAUGUUUGGGAAUCACAGUGGUGAAAAGG